rnacentral:rRNA from 1 species
GUAACACGUGGGAACGUGCCUUUUGGUUCGGAAUAAUUCCGGGGAAACCUGGCCUAAUACCGGAUGUGCCCUUCGGGGGAAAGAUUUAUCGCCAUUAGAGCGGCCCGCGUCUGAUUAGCUAGUUGGUGAGGUGACGGCCCACCAAGGCGACGAUCAGUAGCUGGUCUGAGAGGAUGAUCAGCCACACUGGGACUGAGACACGGCCCAGACUCCUACGGGAGGCAGCAGUAGGGAAUCUUGCGCAAUGGGCGAAAGCCUGACGCAGCCAUGCCGCGUGAACGAUGAGGGUCUUAGGAUUGUAAAAUUCUUUCAGCGGGGAAGAUAAUGACUGUACCCGCAGAAGAAGCUCCGGCUAACUUCGUGCCAGCAGCCGCGGUAAUACGAAGGGGGCUAGCGUUGCUCGGAAUUACUGGGCGUAAAGGGCGCGUAGGCGGGUGUUUAAGUCAGAGGUCAAAUCCCAGGGCUCAACCCUGGAACUGGCUUUGAUACUGGGCACCUAGAGUUCGGGAGAGGU